AAAUUGAAGAGUUUGAUCAUGGCUCAGAUUGAACGCUGGCGGCAGGCCUAACACAUGCAAGUCGAACGGUAGCACAGAGAGCUUGCUCUCGGGUGACGAGUGGCGGACGGGUGAGUAAUGUCUGGGAAACUGCCCGAUGGAGGGGGAUAACUACUGGAAACGGUAGCUAAUACCGCAUAAUGUCGCAAGACCAAAGAGGGGGACCUUCGGGCCUCUUGCCAUCGGAUGUGCCCAGAUGGGAUUAGCU
rnacentral:rRNA from 1 species